UACAGGGGGGGCAAGCGUUGUUCGGAAUUACUGGGCGUAAAGGGUUUGUAGGUGGCUUGCUAAGUCAGACGUGAAAUCCCUCAGCUUAACUGGGGAACUGACGUCUGAUACUGGCGAGCUUGAGUGCAGGAGAGGAACGCGGAAUUCCAGGUGUAGCGGUGAAAUGCGUAGAUAUCUGGAGGAACACCGGUGGCGAAGGCGGCGUUCUGGACUGCAACUGACACUGAGACGCGAAAGCGUGGGGAGCGAACAGG
rnacentral:rRNA from 1 species